rnacentral:rRNA from 1 species
CCUACGGGAGGCAGCAGUGGGGAAUAUUGGACAAUGGGCGCAAGCCUGAUCCAGCAAUGCCGCGUGAGUGAUGAAGGCCUUAGGGUUGUAAAGCUCUUUUACCAGGGAUGAUAAUGACAGUACCUGGAGAAUAAGCUCCGGCUAACUCCGUGCCAGCAGCCGCGGUAAUACGGAGGGAGCUAGCGUUGUUCGGAAUUACUGGGCGUAAAGCGUACGUAGGCGGUUAUUCAAGUCAGAGGUGAAAGCCCGGGGCUCAACCCCGGAACUGCCUUUGAAACUAGGUAGCUAGAAUCUUGGAGAGGUCAGUGGAAUUCCGAGUGUAGAGGUGAAAUUCGUAGAUAUUCGGAAGAACACCAGUGGCGAAGGCGACUGACUGGACAAGUAUUGACGCUGAGGUACGAAAGCGUGGGGAGCAAACAGGAUUAGAUACCCUGGUAGUCCACGCCGUAAACGAUGAUAACUAGCUGUCCGGUCACUUGGUGACUGGGUGGCGCAGCUAACGCAUUAAGUUAUCCGCCUGGGGAGUACGGUCGCAAGNUUAAAACUUAAAUGAAUUGAACGG